rnacentral:tmRNA from 1 species
GGGGCUGUUAGGUUUCUACAUGUUAAUAUAUUUUCUGAAGUAUUUUAUAAAAUAAUUGUUUUAGUUAUUUACAUAAAAAAAUAAAUGCAAAAAACCAAAUUGUUUCUUUUUCUCGAGAUUUAGUAAAAGCUUAGUAGAUUGAUAUCCUACAACAGUUUAUCAUAAGCUUAUAUAAUCAUUGAGUAUCGGUAAAUACAUGCACUGUAUAUCUGAUAACUAAAUUAUGUGCUGCUCCUAAACUACUAAAAAAUUAAAGUUUAUUGUAGUUUUAGGUAAAGUUGUAGAUGAAUUACAAAUAGUAAAUGUUCUUUAUAUAUCUAGCAUUGUCUAGAUACCUUCUGAAAUAUUAUUAUUAACAUGGACGUGGGUUCGAGUCCCACCAGUUCCA